GCCCAGGAAGCUGACCGGGUGGUAGCGCUUCCCUGAAGAGGAAGAGGUGUUGGUUCGAGUCCAACCCUGGGCA
rnacentral:tRNA from 3 species